AUAAUUGUGACGUAACAAGGGAAUACCAAGGUAAGAGUUUACUCGGGCAAUUAGAAUUUCUUAUCGAUUGUUAAUCUCUUUUUUUGCAUUCCCAGGAUAAUGAAUACGCGGGACUGCUGGUGAUGAACGCAGAUAGAACCUAUGCAUUUGGGAUUUUAGAAUCAUCCUGUCACAGUAGUUGACGAAGAGGAAUUAGUUGUAUCGAAGAUUCCGAUUAAAGCAGAUGUCAAGGCUACACUUGCAAGCUUGAUCGAUCAAGUUGAGAUGAUGGAAGAAGUGUGCUAUUCAAUUUAUGUGAAAAUUGAAGAGCAACCAAAAAUUUCAGAUAUUAUAAAGUUUUAAGAUUAAAAUAACUUCAUUUAAUUGAAAAUAAUAGGUGACAGAUUAAAAGUCCCGUGUCUGACGUCAUGAAUUUUAUGCUGAAUGAAAUCAGUCAAGAUGAAGAUGAUGAGUCUGGAUAUGUUUUUCCAUUUAGUUGUUCUCUCAUAUGUAUUUUCAAAUGGACCUCACUGAAAUUCAUGAGCUAAAUGGAUUCUGAUAUUCAAAUUUUCUUUUAUAUAGAGCUAAAAAUGACAAUCGAUGACUUUUUUAUCCAUGUUACUCUCAGUACUACGAUAUCACUCAAAAUAGGCAGUUGGGUGGAAUGAUUGGAUUGCUAGUUUCAAAGGAUAUUUCACACUCUUGCUCAUACACACACAAUCAAUCAACUUUCAGUCUGAACGUAACUUCGGAUCAGGGCGUUCGAUUCCUAAAAUUUUCGUGAACUUAUUUUUAAUUAUAAUGAACCAUUACUAGCCUUGUACCUUUCUCAAAUAAUAUUUAUAUUUUGUAAUGCACCAUUGCUAUUCUUAUUGGACACGUAAGUGAACCUAUGGAUCGUUUUGUUAUUAUUGGAUACGUCAGUGGACAUAACGAUCAUUUCAAUAUUAUGUUGUUGUUCUUGUUUUUUUUCUCCUUCGUCAUGAUAAAAUCGCCUUUCUCUUCGAAUACUGGACCAAUUGCUUUGAAAUUUUCGAUGGUCAAAGAUUGAUUUUAUGCCAGAAGGCUAUUAGGCUACUUUUACUUAUUUCAAAAAUUUCUGUGAAUUUCAAGAGAUUCGUUUCUUAUGUGUCAGAAGAAAAAAUAGCGGCACCUUGCGACGUGUUCAUAUAUUUGAGCAUAGCUCUCUUACGUUGUUCUUGUUCCUCGACACGAAAAUUUAUCGUUAUUAAAAAGUCGUUUUUCUCUUUGAUUACUGGACCAAUUGCUUUGAAAUUUUCAGUGGUGAAAGAUUU